GCUCAUUGAUUGUCCUAUCCUUGGGCAAGGGGGAUGUAUAAAUUUGGCUGAAGAGCAUUUUGUUGUCAUGGGUGUUACACCCCUGUCUGCGUCAUCGCGAGUCGCCAGUCAGAGCUGUCUGUUUGGGUAAACCGUGUGGCUGGUGUUGGGUUGGCGUGUUUCCUCGCGGCAGUCCAAGGUGAGCCGGAGAGAGAGCGGCGUUAAUAAUACCGACAGUGCCUGCCUUUACACGUUGUACCAUUUGUGUGGUAGAUCUAUUAAAUCGAGUGAGCCUACGGGUGCACAGAAGUGCUGUGUACGCGAUUUCUGGGAAGACCCCACACACGAUCUACAGAACGAGCCUGCAGCUUUCGGGCUUACCCUUAUAGUAACCUGUGUUUCCGGAUCACUCAUCCCAAUGGUAUGUGUUUUAAAGGAGCUGAGUGCCGAAGGUGGGGUGGAUUGUGGUGGUGGUAUUGCUUCACGAGUGCUGUGCUGUGUGCAGUGGUGUGUGUGAGUGUCUACACAGGUGCAACCAAAAGUUGUGUGGUGCUGUGGAGGCCGAUUAGUGCCCUUGAUCCCCGUUGUUACGCCUUGGCUUCUGCAUCCACAUCUAUAAAGACUGUCGUUACUUUCUCCAUUUGGAUAUGGAGGGAGAUAGUUCACCUCUGCUCUCUCUGGUCUUUUGCAGUUUUUAGCAGGAAAUCUCUCAAGGUGCCUUUCUUUUCAAGGAGUUGAUAGGAAGUUCAGGAACAGGUACUUUUCUUUUCCUCAUUUUAGUGCAGAAAUUAGCCAUCUUGUAUUUAAGACGUUGCUGCCACCAGUGCAUACCUGAAGAUAAUGUCCCAGGCUCUUGCAGGCAUGGAUGCUGCUUUAACAGAGCUUCUGCAACUGCCUGAAUGUAAAGACCAGUGGGAUAGGCAGUGUAGUGAAUAUCGCUUCUGCAAGUUUCUCAAGUAGGUCAGAUGUCAUGCUUGGAUUCUAAAGGAGUGUGCCUUCCCUUUUAUAAGCCUUGUUUCCUUCUUGAAGGGCCAAAUUGACAUUAUAUGAAAAGGUGGCUAUCACAAACUUAGCUGGCCAAGAUUCCGAUUGAUGUGCUGAGAGCUGUGAUAUAAUGUUGGUGUCAGGUAAACUAAGUGAGCAUCCUGGAUAGACUGAGUUAUUGGCACUGGAGAGGAGCAAGCAGCAGGCUCAAUGAUGGGAGUCAAUGAGAAAACAACAGAUGGUUCUGUCUUAACUAGUUUGAUUGUGUCUUUGUCUUUUAUCACAUCUGUUGAUGUCAGAGUAAAGAAUUCAUUAUUAAUAUCUUUGUCCAUGUACAUGACAUUAUAGCUCCCUAGGAGUUGAAAAUGAUCCUGUGCUGCUGCCAGAAGUUCAUCUAUGGUCUAGUGUCAAUUCUACAAGUACAAUAUUCUCAAGUAAACAGUGCACUGUGAAAAAUUACCUAUAGAAUCUACCCAAAAAAUGUGAGGUAACAAUUUGCAUUCAGUCUGUUUGGGUAAAUUUCACGCUAUACUGUUUGUAAAGAGUACCUAAAUAAAUCAGCUAUAACAUGGCAAUUGAAAUUAGGUAAAAUCUAUUCAUAAUAUUAGACAAUGAAUUACAGUGGAACCCGGUUAUGUCGCCGGCCUAGGGGACGCCAAAAAGCGUCGAGAUAACCGAUGAUCUAAAUAAAUGAA